UCCGGUUUAACACCGGCAGUCUCCCUAGAGUGCUCAACUGAAUGGUGGCAACUAGGGACAAGGGUUGCGCUCGUUAAGGGACUUAACCCGACAUCUCACGAUACGAGCUGACGACAGCCAUGCAGCACCUAAACCGCCAGCCCCCGAAGGGGAGACCUCAUCUCUGAGGUUGUCUGACGUUGUCUAGCCCAGGUAAGGUUCUUCGCGUUGCAUCGAAUUAAACCACAUGCUCCACCGCUUGUGCGGGCCCCCGUCAAUUCCUUUGAGUUUUAACCUUGCGGCCGUACUUCCCAGGCGGGGUACUUAAUGCGUUAGCUGCGACACUGCGGGGGUCAAUUCCCACAACAUCUAGUACCCAUCGUUUACAGCGUGGACUAC
rnacentral:misc_RNA from 1 species